UUUGUCAGCAGAUUUGUUUGGUGUAGAGAGAGGGGAUUUGUGAUGUGGUGCCUCUGCUAAAUGCUCAUGUGGGUAUAAGUAUAGUUUAAUAUUUUGAGAGGUUAUGAGGUUUUCUUUUUCCAGAGUAUUUAACACCAGGAAGAGAUGCUAGACAGACAGUCCUGAAGAAUAGAAUCCUCUAUCUAUCUACAGACCAGGAGUAACACCAGCUGCUCAGCAUCAGAAUGAGUUCUGACAGCCGUAUUUAACAUAGCUGCUGGCAGCAGCAUGCAUGCCAAAGACGACAGCCACUGUACUGGCGUGUUUCCAGCUAUACUGGAAUAAGCGCGAGUUACUUCGCUACUUUGCUGACUGUCCAGUAUGGACGGGAGGGUCCCAAGUUUAGACACUUAUCCCAGGAACAAACAUUGUGUCUAAGCCAGUUCCUAGGGCUCCCAUGAUAGAAGAGCAGAUGCGCAGAGAUAAGCGGUUGGAGGCUGGAAACUCUCGCUGAGGCACAGUCUGGCAAAGACCCUGUUUUACAGCUGACUCUGCUUCACCCCCCACACUUGAUGAUCGUUGCUGCCCAGCUGAAUUUUCUUCCCCUGCCCUCCUUGGUGCAGUUCACCUGCUGAAACUCCUGGUAGCAUUUGUGGGAAGAGGGUCAGAUCGUUUAGGAAAUGCUGAAUGAGAGAGAGAGAGAUCUCGGGACAGCUCCUUCCCACCCAUCUCGUGAUGACUCAGAAUGACCUGCAGUGGAACAGCAGGCUGGGAAGAAGGGGAUUUGAGUGAGGGAAGGAUGGUCCAGUGGUUCCGAUGCUAGCGUGGAACUUGGGAGGCAUGGGUUCGGACUUAUUGUAUGAUCUUGGCCAUAUCACUUUAGCCUCUCUGUGCCUCAGUUCCUCAUCUGUAGAAUGGGGAUAAUAGCACCACACUACAUCCCAGGAUAAAUACAUCAAAGAUUACUAUGGGAAUGAGGGUCAUAUAAGUACCUUAGCUUUCUAGAAGAUAGAUGACAUGCUACAGCUCGCAGACAUAUGAUGCCAGCUGAUCUACAUGCAAUUGUUCAGGAGGAAAGGGGAUGAGCCUUACAGCUGAGGAGUGGACCAGUGCUUUGGAACUCUGCCAUAGAAGUAGAGACAGUGUCUAUACCACUGUGGUCAACAAGAUUGUCAGCCUGAAAGUGUCAGGGUCACACCCACCAGGUCAAAGGCAUUCUAGCAAUGUGGCCCAGUAUGGUAGCAAUUUAUUGGUUUGAUAUUACAUCAUCCCAUCAUGACGUAACGUUACACCAUGAUCAUGUUGAAUCAGCCCAUACCGUUUAAAGGGUAACAUUACGUAAUGGGCAUGUGGACCCUUUUUACUGCAGGUGUCAACUGUUUCGUGAAAGAGACUUGUGGGGAUAGGAUUAAAAUAUUGUUACGUGGAAAAGAUCAUGUGGAUGGCUUACUAUUUCUAACUUGGGGAAUCUUUGUCCUUCUAAGGGGUCCUUAUUUUUUUAAAGCUAUGCCUCAAAUCCCUUAUAUAUCAUACAGUGAAGUAACCUGCCAUCCUUGAAAUCCGAUUAACAUUAUGGCUGAGUUCAAAAACAAAUGUUUGUGAUUGCAAAAUGAAAAU